GAUAUAGGCUGUGUGACCUCUGACAAGUCACUUAACCUCUCAAUCCCACAAGCAACUCUAUGUUAUAUAAGGGCUGAUCUGCAUUAGUAGAGGGGUUUCCUAAUGGGAAUUUUCCUCUGACAUUUAAAUUAAAGGUCUAAUAAAUAAUAAUCAUACAUAGAAUCCCAAUGUCCUUUUGAUGCUGAAUGGAUUAAAAAAAACUACUAAGUAAUUGCUACAUGUCAGACACUGUGCUAAGUUUAAAAUUGUUGUUGUUGGAGAGUUCAAAUGUAAAGACACUGCAGAAAUAAUGCAAAAUACAAAAUGUGACAUACAAAAAAGAUAGCUGGUUUAAUUCAAAGGUGGGAGAGAUCAUUUCUGAAUAUGCUAGUUAGCAAAAUUUCUAUUAAAGUGGUGAAAUCUAGUCAGUCAUUUUUGGCACAGGGAAAUGCAAGGGAAAAAGAGACAAAAAGUAUAGGAUAUGUACAGAACAAAUGGAGAUAGUUCUUAAAUAAAUAACCCCCAAGACAGUUAUACUUUUCUUUCUCCCCAGCUUUAGAGAGUCUGUGGCUGCAAACUAGAUGGACAACAUAUUAAAAGAUCUAGCAUGGUCUGAGAAUGGCUGAAAAGUCAAAAGUGUGAGUGACUGAGGCAGAAAAAAAGAGAGGAGCAAGACAAGAUAAUAUAAUAUUGGUCAAGAGCCCUGUAAAGCACUUUAUUUCCAGUCAGACAAGAUGACUAUGCCUCAAUAUAAUCUAUAGAAGGAUUAUACUUGUGCUUUGGAGGUGAUUUUUUAAAACAAGUGACUUUAUAUCUCUUCAACUGCAACUUAUUAGAUUCAACCAAUCAUUCUAGUCAGUUGAAAUCUCUUUAAAUUUUGACUCUAUCACCCAACAGGAUUUGGAGCCCAUUUGGAUUUGGCAUCUGUUUCUGCUUCUAGUAUGUCUGGCUCAGGAGGCUCAAAGCUGCAAAUUCUACUGGGAAAAUAUUGAAAAUUAAUUUAUUGCUCAAUGCAGAACAAAGAUAAUCAAGGACUUGCAUUUUCAGCAUCCGGACUGACAUGGUUCAUAAAGACUACAGUCACCCUGAAGACUAUAGCUACCUUGUUCUCUUUAAAAGAAAACCAAGUCAUGAAUACUGAGGAUGAUGCACCUUGAAGUUUUAAGGAGCAUCAAAAGGAGAGAAUGAUGAGGAAAUUCAGCUUAAAGCUCCCUCUCUGCUCCAGAUAGCCAGGUGCAAGGUCGGUCUCCUCUCCUCAACCUAAAGGACAGACAGUCAAGCCCCACCACUCCUUACAGAUCUCAGAUUCCAGACAGCCUAGCAAGGCCAAAUAUUGAGUAUAAAGUGACUGUUCCCCCAAUGCUGGACAUGAGCAGGACAAUCCAACCGUGGG
rnacentral:lncRNA from 1 species